UCGGCUUAGAGUUUGAUCAUGGCUCAUAUUGAACGCUGGCGGCAGGCCUAACACAUGCAAGUCGAGCGGUAGGGAAGCUUGCUUCUCACGAGCGGCGGACGGGUGAGUAAUGUAUGGGGAUCUGCCCGAUAGAGGGGGAUAACUACUGGAAACGGUAGCUAAUACCGCAUAAUCUCUCAGGAGCAAAGCAGUUCGUUGCGCUAUCGGAUGAACCCAUAUGGGAUUAGCUAGUUGGUGAGGUAAUGGCUCACCAAGGCGGCGAUCCCUAGCUGGUCUGAGAGGAUGAUCAGCCACACUGGGACUGAGACACGGCCCAUACUCCUACGGGAGGCAGCAGUGGGGAAUAUUGCACAAUGGGCGCAAGCCUGAUGCAGCCAUGCCGCGUGUAUGAAGAAGGCCUUAGGGUUGUAAAGUACUUUCAGUUGGGAGGAAGGCGUUGAUUAAUAUCAACGAUUGACGUUACCAACGAAGAAGCACCGGCUAACUCCGUGC
rnacentral:rRNA from 1 species